rnacentral:rRNA from 1 species
AUUGAACGCUGGCGGCAGGCCUAACACAUGCAAGUCGAACGGUAACAGGAAGCAGCUUGCUGCUUCGCUGACGAGUGGCGGACGGGUGAGUAAUGUCUGGGAAACUGCCUGAUGGAGGGGGAUAACUACUGGAAACGGUAGCUAAUACCGCAUAACGUCGCAAGACCAAAGAGGGGGACCUUAGGGCCUCUUGCCAUCGGAUGUGCCCAGAUGGGAUUAGCUAGUAGGUGGGGUAACGGCUCACCUAGGCGACGAUCCCUAGCUGGUCUGAGAGGAUGACUAGCCACACUGGAACUGAGACACGGUCCAGACUCCUACGGGAGGCAGCAGUGGGGAAUAUUGCACAAUGGGGGCAAGCCUGAUGCAGCCAUGCCGCGUGUAUGAAGAAGGCCUUCGGGUUGUAAAGUACUUUCAGCGGGGAGGAAGGGAGUAAAGUUAAUACCUUUGCUCAUUGACGUUACCCGCAGAAGAAGCACCGGCUAACUCCGUG